UGGGGCUUGGCUCAGUGGUAGAGUGCUCCCAUAGCAUGGGUGAGGCCGUGGGUUCAAUCCUCAGCAUCAC
rnacentral:tRNA from 1 species